GUACAAGCUCUCAGAAGACACAGCAGGAUCAGCACUUCACGAGACAUCAGCCUCAUCCCCCUGCACUCAGCACCCACAGCACAUCCAGCAGAGCACCACAGGAACCUGUGAGGAGGGAUUAGUCCCACGUGCCUCCCUCAGCAUUAGCACAAACUGCAGCAUGGAAAGCCCAGCAAUUCCCAGGAACACUUUAUUUAUUGCAACCCAGGCUUUAUCUGCUCAGAAAAGAAGAGGAGCCAAGCAUGGCAGGGCUGGCUGUUCUUUUGGAUGCUUCUUUCCUGUCUCCCAUCCAAAGUGUAAUGAAGGAAAGCCUCAGGCAGAGAACUCACUUGGAGCAAGAGGUAACACCAAUGCUGGUCUAAAUGCCUCUUUGCAAAAGGCAAUCUUAUUCCUAACACCCAGCUCUUCCAUAUUUCACUGUCAGGGGAUUUUUCACACCUGUAUGGGACAGGCCUGAGGGGUCAGACUGAAAAAAGGAUUUCAGUGAAGAAGCUCCAGUCCAACACUGGGAUCCUCAGAGCUGUCUGAUCCUGGAGGUACCCCCAGAUCCACACACACGAGUGAGGCCAGAGCAGCUGUGGAGUGCAGAUAUGACAGAUGUGGCUUGAAAGAACCCGGGGAAAGUGCACAGCAACCUGGGAGUGCUUUGUACUGAAGAACAGAGAUUCUCUGGGACACAAAGAGAAGUUAAAGCUGCUCGGCCCUGUCUGUUCUCCGGUCGUACCCAGCUGCCACUUAGAACAAGGAACAAACAGAGAAGAGAAAUUGGGAAUUUGAAGCCUGCAGGAUUCCUGGCUGUUAAGAGAAUAAACAAUGAUUUGCACCCCACAACCAAGUCCAGAUCAGAGGAGACAAUGCAAGGCAGGGAUGUCACUGCAAUGGGAGCAGGGAUGCAGUGGCUCUGUGUCACAGGCGCUGAAUCACAGGCAGUGCCCUGGAGAACGGAACAGGAGGGAAGGAAAGGUGAAGAACCUCUUCGGGAACACCUGGUCCAUGCCCUGCAGCAGGGAACAGCUGUUCCUCUGAGAUUUUCCUCAAAUUUUCCCUGUUACACCUUGGAUCACAUCCAGUCCCUCGUACUGUUCCAGGAAACACUAAGAAGAAAACGGGAACUGAAGAACAGCAAAUCACUUUUUAAACUGACAACAGAUUAUAAUCUCCCCUUUCCCCACCAAACUGAGGGAGCAGAAAGAGGCUUUUAAGAGAUUUUAUUCCUGUUAUACCCAGCUUCCACUUUUCAUCCCCACACAAGGCAGAAGAAAGCCUUGCAAGCCAUUUCUCCAACCAAAACACUGCAAAUCCCUUCAGACUGGACCAUGGAGCUUUUCCUUUCCAAGCCCUCCCUAAAGUCAGACUUACCAACAAACAUAAAUGCAAAUAUGAGUUCUACAAAUCCAUUUUAAGUGGCUUCAUCAUCUGUUUUUUAACUGACAUGCCUUCACUUUUUGCCAAAUGUAUUUCAUGUACAUAUGUCUGUUUCCUAUCAUCUUUUCCAUUUCUCUUAUCACUUGUAUUUUAAUAAACUACAUGUACAGAUUCA
rnacentral:lncRNA from 1 species